rnacentral:rRNA from 1 species
GACGAACGCUGGCGGCGUGCUUAACACAUGCAAGUCGAGCGGUAAGGCCCCUUCGGGGGUACACGAGCGGCGAACGGGUGAGUAACACGUGAGCAAUCUGCCCUUCACUUUGGGAUAACUCUGGGAAACGAGAGCUAAUACCGAAUACGACCACUUCAGGCAUCUGAUGGUGGUGGAAAGUUCCGGCGGUGAAGGAUGAGCUCGCGGCCUAUCAGCUAGUUGGUGGAGUAACGGCCCACCAAGGCUUCGACGGGUAGCCGGCCUGAGAGGGUGACCGGCCACACUGGGACUGAGACACGGCCCAGACUCCUACGGGAGGCAGCAGUGGGGAAUAUUGGACAAUGGGCGAAAGCCUGAUCCAGCAACGCCGCGUGAGGGAUGACGGCCUUCGGUUGUAACCUCUUCUAGUAGGACGAAGCGCAAGUGACGGUACCUACAGAAGAAGCACCGG